rnacentral:lncRNA from 1 species
CACAUUCCGGGGACAUACAAUCGGCUGAUUUUAUCUUCUCUAACUACAUUUCUGCUUCAGAGGCUUUACUUGGUGGGAAUCAUCUUCCAGACUCCCCAAAGCUGGCUUCUGCCCAACUCACAAACCUCAUCUCACAUGUUGCUCUUUUCCCCUCUUUCACCAGUUCCAGGCACACAGACUUCCUGUCAGUUCUUGGUCAAGCAAGUUCUCGUCCACCUGAGGACCUUGUCCUUGCCUGUUCUUCCGUCUGCCUGGAAGGCUUUCUUCUGUCUUCUGUGCCUGGCUCCUUCCCCACCUUCCGGCCUCACUUGAGAUGUGAUCUUCUCUGACCAUCUUAGCUGAAGUUGGCCUCCUCUCCCUUAAUCUCCAUUGAGCUAAACAGUUUCUUUCAUCUAGAACUUACUAUAGUAAUUAUGUGUUUACUAGUUCACUGUCUGGAAUCGUUUACCCUAGAGCAGUCUACGAUGUAAAGCCAGGAUGGUCAAACUACAGCGCAAGCUUUGUUUUUGCAAAGCUCUGGAGCUUCCCUCUCUGCUGGUCACUCAUUCUUCUCUCUCCUGCUGCCAUAUGAAAAAGGACCCGUUUCCUUCCCCUUCUGCCAUGAUUGGACCUGGGAGUGCGACAUGGUGGCCUCAGGGGAAAAGGGCUCUCGUCUAGACCUUCUGACUGUCCUCUGGAUCUUCCUGGUGUCCAUGCGGGGCUGCUGCUCUGGGCUGGCCCCAGGGCCUUUGGCCAGUGUCCAUGAGACCCGGAAUUCCAGCAACCAGUUUGACAACUCCUACAGAGAAACAGGAUCCACAUAAGGAUACAGCUUCUUCAUAUCCCUGUCCCAUGACUUCACCCUGCGUUCUUCAACCAAUCAAUGUGUCAGGCCUCUGAGCCCAGGCCUGCACGUAUACAUCCAGAUGGCAUGAAGU